UACGUAGGGGGCAAGCGUUGUCCGGAAUCAUUGGGCGUAAAGAGCGCGUAGGCGGCCCAGUAAGUCCGCUCUGAAAGUCAAGGGCUCAACCCUUGAAAGCCGGUUGAUACUGUCGGGCUAGAGUCCGGAAGAGGCGAGUGGAAUUCCCGGUGUAGCGGUGAAAUGCGCAGAUAUCGGGAGGAACACCAAUGGCGAAGGCAGCCCGCUGGGACGGUACUGACGCUGAGACGCGAAAGCGUGGGGAGCAAACAGG
rnacentral:rRNA from 1 species